UUUGUACACACCGCCCGUCGCUACUACCGAUUGAAUGGCUUAGUGAGGCCUUCGGACUGGCUCAGGGAGGUCGGCAACGACCACCCAGAGCCGGAAAGUUCGUCAAACUACGUCAUUUAGAGGAAGUAAAAGUCGUAACAAGGUUUCCGUAGGUGAACCUGCGGAAGGAUCAUUACUGAAAUGUAAUAACUUCUAUUGAAAGGUUCCAGAGUAGGCGCUACAACGCCGAAAUGACCUUCUCACCCCUGUGUACUCACUAUGUUGCUUUGGCGGGUCGACCUGGUUCCGACCCAGGCGGCCGGCGCCCCCAGCCUUAACUGGCCAGGACGCCCGGCUAAGUGCCCGCCAGUAUACAAAACUCAAGAAUUCAUAUUGUGAAGUCCUGAUAUAUCAUUUAAUUGAUUUAAAACUUUCAACAACGGAUCUCUUGGUUCUGGCAUCGAUGAAGAACGCAGCGAAAUGCGAUAAGUAAUGUGAAUUGCAGAAUUCAGUGAAUCAUCGAAUCUUUGAACGCACAUUGCGCCCUCUGGUAUUCCGGAGGGCAUGCCUGUUCGAGCGUCAUUUCAACCCUCAAGCUCUGCUUGGUAUUGGGCAACGUCCGCUGCCGGACGUGCCUUGAAGACCUCGGCGACGGCGUCCUAGCCUCGAGCGUAGUAGUAAAAUAUCUCGCUUUGGAGUGCUGGGCGACGGCCGCCGGACAAUCGACCUUCGGUCUAUUUUUCCAAGGUUGACCUCGGAUCAGGUAGGGAUACCCGCUGAACUUAAGCAUAUCAAUAAGGCGGAGGAAAAGAAACCAACAGGGAUUGCCUUAGUAACGGCGAGUGAAGCGGCAAUAGCUCAAAUUUGAAAGCUGGCGUCUUCGACGUCCGCGUUGUAAUUUGU
rnacentral:rRNA from 1 species